rnacentral:rRNA from 1 species
UACGGGGGGGGUAAGCGUUGUUCGGAAUUACUGGGCGUAAAGGGCUCGUAGGCGGCCAACUAAGUCAUACGUGAAAUCCCUCAGCUUAACUGGGGAACUGCGUGUGAUACUGGAUGGCUUGGAUUUGGGAGAGGGAUGCGGAAUUCCAGGUGUAGCGGUGAAAUGCGUAGAUAUCGAGAGGAACACCGGUGGCGAAGGCGGCCAACUGGACGAAUACUGACGCUGAGACUCGAAAGCGUGGGGAGCAAACAGG